rnacentral:rRNA from 1 species
GAUCCUGGCUCAGAACGAACGCUGGCGGCAUGCCUAACACAUGCAAGUCGAACGAGACCUUCGGGUCUAGUGGCGCACGGGUGCGUAACGCGUGGGAAUCUGCCCUUAGGUUCGGAAUAACUUCGGGAAACUGAAGCUAAUACCGGAUGAUGACGUAAGUCCAAAGAUUUAUCGCCUAAGGAUGAGCCCGCGUUGGAUUAGCUAGUUGGUGAGGUAAAGGCUCACCAAGGCGACGAUCCAUAGCUGGUCUGAGAGGAUGAUCAGCCACACUGGGACUGAGACACGGCCCAGACUCCUACGGGAGGCAGCAGUGGGGAAUAUUGGACAAUGGGCGAAAGCCUGAUCCAGCAAUGCCGCGUGAGUGAUGAAGGCCUUAGGGUUGUAAAGCUCUUUUACCCGAGAUGAUAAUGACAGUAUCGGGAGAAUAAGCUCCGGCUAACUCCGUG